ACCACCACGGCGCCCACACUGGCCACGCACGUGCGGGACCAUGACCUUCCUGAAUGAGUUUCCACACAUCUCCUGAGCACUUCCUAAAGCCAAGAGCUGGAACCGCAGGAGACAAUCCGUCCUCCUUAACAUGAUUGCAUAAAUUAUCACCAUGCCCGGGUCACCCACAGCCGGCACUCAACGUCUGUGUUGCAUGGAAUCAAAUAAAGGAAAAUAGCGAAGAGGUCUCAGAUUGCACGUAGACCCUUUCCAGUUGGGCAGAACAUAAAUGGGCUGGGAAGUUUGUUGUCAGGAGUCUUUGAGUUCCAGGAGCUUGGAGGUGGCCAGGAUGCGAGGCUGGGAGGUGGGGCUCCGCUGGCGCUGGUUCCUAUGCAAUCCCAGAAAAAUAAGUCAUCCUUCUAAGCCCUAAUUCCCUCAUCUGUUAAAACAAAAACAAAAGCAAACAAAGAGGCAUGUGUGGGGAGGGGAUGAUGACUCCCACCCCUUCUGGAUCAAAUGAAAUUUGCUAAAGUCUUUUGUAAACUGCCUGUGCCCUGCGGCAUCGUCGACUUCUUCAGCAGAAGGUUUCUAAGCCCCCCUUGCACUGACACACAAGUCAGAGCCUCAGAGCCAUUUUGCACAUAUUUGAACUAGCCUGGAGAAGAGGCUGGUGAAAGCUCUCUAAGUAACAACGCUUGUUUGUGACAUUUGAAGGACCAGCCGUGAAAAGCUCUCUAGUCUUCCGUCUCUGUUAUCAGCAGUGGGAUAUUUAAGUUAUUCUGGAGUUUUAAACAAAUCAUCUUCUUUCUGCUACUCUACACAUAUUUACGCAAAAGCCAAUUAAAGAGCUGAUUCUAGGGAAGACUGAGCAACCACUCCAAGGGCAAUGUCAUCCAUGGAGAGCUGAUCCAAGGAAGACUGAGCGAUCACUUCAACAGCAAUGCCAUCCAUGGAGAGCUGAUCCAGGGAAGACUGAGCGAUCACUUCAACAGUGAUGCCAUCCAUGGAGGGCUGAUCCAGGGAAGACUGAGCGAUCACUCCAAGAGAGAUGCCAUCCGUGGAGGACUGAUCCAAGGAAGACUGAGCGAUCACUUUGACAGCCAUGUCCUCCAUGGUGGGCUGAUUCUAGGGAAGACUGAGCGAUCACUCCAAGAGAGAUGCCAUCCAUGGAGGGCUGAUCCAGGGAAGACUAAGCGAUCAUUCCAAUAACUAUGUCAUCCAUGGAGGGCUGAUUCAAGGAAGACUGAAUGAUCACACCAAGAGUGAUGCUGUCCAUGGAGGCGAUGAGGCAUGAUGGAACUAAAGCACAGAGAGUAAUAGCAUAGGAGGCUGGACAAGGUGUCUAUGGAUUGAUAGCAUUCUGUGGUAUUUGCAUUGCAUGAAAGAAGAAAAAAAAUUGUCAUAAAUUUAAACUUUCUUGAGACAAAUAUGUGUGUCAAAAUAUGUAAAAACAACUCCUGAAAUAAAAUACAUACUUUUCCAACUAGUAGAGAGAAUAAAAAGAAUUUAAGAAAUUAUAAUCAAACUCGUGGACAAAACAAAGAAAAAGUAUGAUCGUGAGCAAACAUAAAAUAGGUAUUGGAAAUAAAUUUAAAUAAAUUAAAUGAUUGUAAAUGAAUCUAACUAGCUAUUAAAGUGUGAGAGACACACACUUAAAACACAAUAUCACGGAAAGGCAGAAUGUAAAGGGAUAUGAGCAGAGCUAACAGGAAAAUGCAAAGACCAAAGAGAGGGUGUUAUAAUAACCUGACAGGCUGGACUGGAUUUAGAGAAAGAAGCAUUAUUAGGGACAUAAACUGCCAACGUGUAAUGAUAAAAAGAGCCAUUCAGGGGGGGAAAAAAAAAAAAGCACUU